AUCGCUUCUCGGCCUUUUGGCUAAGAUCAUGUGUAGUACAGUAACUGCCACACCUCAGACAUUGAUCUAACACAACCACACCCCUGUGCUAUCAUAUAUAUAUAUAUAUAUAUAUAUAUAUAUAUAUAUAUAUAUAUGAAUGGAGUGGGAUCAUUGUAGGGCAUUGAGCAUUUCUGCAAUCUCUU